rnacentral:tRNA from 1 species
GCCCGAGUGGUGGAAUUGGUAGACACGCAAGACUUAAAAUCUUGUGACCAUCUGGUCGUGCGGGUUCAAGUCCCGCCUCGGGUACCA